UACGGAGGGUGCAAGCGUUGUCUGGAAUUAUUGGGCGUAAAGAGCUCGUAGGCGGUUCGUCGCGUCGGCUGUGAAAACCCGGAGCUCAACUCCGGGCCUGCAGUCGAUACGGGCGGACUCGAGUUCGGCAGGGGAGACUGGAAUUCCUGGUGUAGCGGUGAAAUGCGCAGAUAUCAGGAGGAACACCGGUGGCGAAGGCGGGUCUCUGGGCCGAUACUGACGCUGAGGAGCGAAAGCGUGGGGAGCGAACAGG
rnacentral:rRNA from 1 species